CCGAGCCCCGGCCGCCGGCGGGCCCCCCCCGGCCCGGGACGGCCGGAGCUGCGGGGAGGCGGCGGCGGGAGGCGGCGGCGGGUCCCCGCCCCGACAGGCGGCCUUGUCAACCAGAAGCCUGCCAGGCCCAGAGAGCAGCACUGACCAUCACAGGUGCCCACAAAGGAAUAGCAAGAAGCCGGUGGGAAAGUCUACAAUAUCAUAUGAUUACUCGGAGGAAGAACUCAUGGCAAGCAUUGAGCGGGAGUACUGCCGCUGAACCCAUCCCCACACCACAAGAACUUCAAGCAUGUUCCUGGAGGCCCAGCUGAGGCAAAACUGCUGCUGACAAAAUAACCCCUCACACAGCAAGACAGCACGGGAGAGGUGGCUUGCAAAGGAAGGUGAAGUGUGGGAAGCAGUUGUGGCUGCUUGGGAAGCACAGAGGAGAAAGCCCUCCUGACCAGCUCUGAGUGAGAGCAUGAAGAUCCUCACCAACUGUUGAUUUCUCAUCAGUGCCACUGGAAGAAUGACCAAUUCAUCUUGUGAGUCAAUAUUUAGAAGCUCAUUUCUAAAUGGUAUUUACAAAUGAAGACAUAUAGGAAUCAAAGUGUCACGGUAGAAGGGUUGAGGCAUGGUGCUUUGAAGAAAGAUCUUGUUUUGUCUUAGCAGGAAAAAAAAAAAAAAAAAAAAAGCAGUAAAACAAUUUGAUUCAGAUCUCACUUAGGGGGGAUGUUGCAUGAAAUUCAUGUUCCUGCCACUCAAAACAGGCCAAAUUCACUCCUUGUGCUGCACAAGCCUCCAGUUCAGGUCUGAAUUUGUCACUGUUUCAUCAAGCAUGGUCCUCUCCCCAGCAUGGGAUGUAAGAUGAAAAGGGGAGUGAGCCCACCAUCCAGUACGUACACAGCAUCAUCCCAGAGUUAAAAUCCCACCAUUUAGGAAAAUUAGGCUCUUGGGAGCCAUCAGGGAACACAGGAUUUGUACAAUCCCUUUGGGUUGAGAUCCCAGUGUCAGUGUCCUACCUGGGGCUCCUUGGCAUGGAUCCUCCAGCAAAAGCAAGAGGCAUGUCCCUGGUGCUGCCUCACUGCAGCCAGCAAUCACCCAUCCUGAGAGGGAGUUGCACACCAUUGCACAGCAGCUGCUUGCGAUCAGUUUUCAGAAUUAUCUGUCUUGGCCUUCCCAUUUAUUUCUUGUGGGUUACCUAGAAGAAAAGUCACUACCUUUUACCAUUAGUUGACUGCAAAAUAAAAGAGAAAGUCUGCUCUCCAAAGAAAACCAUAUAUUUUCAGUGCUCCCUGACAGAAAGCCUAAUAUUUUAGGGUUUCUGCCUUUAUUUUACCUCCAUCUUAAUGUAUUACUAGUAAGUUCUUAUUAUCAGAAGUAGGAAAAUACCUUAUUUCUGUCUUCAGCUGAAGCAUAAAAGACAUCAGAAGAAGUCGUCACAUAGACUGUGUAAAUGCAAGAUGAAACAGCAGGACACGUCUUAAGAUACUGCAUUUUAACUUUUGUAAUUCCUGGUACCUGUGGAACAGAAAUAAUGCAUCUGUACUCUAUGUAACCCUCAGUAAAGGCAUCAAAUGUUGUUUUGAAAAACCCUC